UACAGAGGUCUCAAGCGUUGUUCGGAUUCAUUGGGCGUAAAGGGUGCGUAGGUGGUUCGGUAAGUCGGGUGUUAAACCCCCAGGCUCAACCUGGGGACGCCACUCGAUACUGCUGUGACUAGAGUCCGGUAGGGGAGCGUGGAAUUCCUGGUGUAGCGGUGAAAUGCGCAGAUAUCAGGAGGAACACCAGCGGCGAAGGCGGCGCUCUGGGCCGGUACUGACACUGAGGAGCGAAAGCGUGGGUAGCAAACAGG
rnacentral:rRNA from 1 species